UAUAGAACAAGCAGAAAAAAGCAAACUCUGAAUAUUAGACAUAUUAAAGCAGAAGUCAUCAAAUAUUAUGAAACAACAAAAAUGAUAGCUUUUUCAAAUUGUAAUUAUGCCAAUUUUUUUAGCUUCUGGUCCUCCUUCCAUACAUUAUUUGCCAAUAAUAAAACUUUUAUCAACAGAUUUGUGUAACAUGUAAACACUUUAUAUACAUGCUUAGUUUGACCAUUUACAUAUUUGCGAACAGCAUGAUAUUCGACAAUGUGAUUAAAGAAACACUACAUGUGUACUAUGAGGCCACUUGUACUGUACUGUACUACUGAGGUAAAGUCCGUA